UCUGGUUGAUCCUGCCAGUAGUCAUAUGCUUGUCUCAAAGACUAAGCCAUGCAUGUCUAAGUAUAAGUGUUAUACAGCGAAACUGCGAAUGGCUCAUUAAAACAGUUAUAGUUUAUUUGAUAAUCGAAUUUACAUGGAUAACCGUGGUAAUUCUAGAGCUAAUACAUGCUGGUAUGCCCGACUUUUGCGGAAGGGCGGUAUUUAUUAGAUAACAAGCCAAUAUUCCUCUGGUCUAUUGUGGUGACUCAUAAUAACUGAUCGAAUCGCAAGGCCUUUGGCCGCGAUAAAUCAUUCAAGUUUCUGCCCCAUCAGCUUUCGAUGGUAGUGUAUUGGACUACCAUGGCGUUUACGGGUAACGGAGGAUUAGGGUUCGAUUCCGGAGAGGGAGCCUGAGAAACGGCUACCACAUCUAAGGAAGGCAGCAGGCGCGUAAAUUACCCAAUCCUGACUCAGGGAGGUAGUGACAAGAAAUAACGGACCGGUUCCUUCGGAUUCGKGAUUGUC
rnacentral:rRNA from 1 species